rnacentral:rRNA from 1 species
GACGUAGGGGGCCAGCGUUGUUCGGAAUUACUGGGUGUAAAGGGUUCGUAGGCGGUGCGGCAAGUUGGGAGUGAAAUCUCUGGGCUUAACCCAGAGGCUGCUUCCGAAACUGCUGUGCUUGAGUGUGGGAGAGGCGCGUGGAAUUGCAGGUGUAGCGGUGAAAUGCGUAGAUAUCUGCAGGAACACCCGUGGCGAAAGCGGCGCGCUGGACCACUACUGACGCUGAGGAACGAAAGCUAGGGGAGCAAACGGG